rnacentral:lncRNA from 1 species
GAAAAGAAGUUUCUGGUUGGCCUCCCUGGAAUCAUGUGUUCAUCUCUGACUCAAUCACUGUGGAUGGGUAGGACGUGGACCAGCAGUGUUCUCCAGGUUUUGAUUGUCCCAAAGAAUUGAUCAGGACAAUUGGUGAGUGCGAAAGAUUACUGUUGGAGGGCAGAAAGAAGAAGAAAAGGAACAGGAAAAGAAGCACAGAAGUGCUCAAGAAGAAAAGAGUGCUUUGAAGGAAAAAGAGAAGAUGCAUCCUGCA